CCUACGGGUGACAGCAGUGAGGAAUAUUGGUCAAUGGACGGAAGUCUGAACCAGCCAUGCCGCGUGCAGGAAGACGGCUCUCUGAGUUUUAAACUGCUUUUGUAGAGAGGAAAACCUGAAUAUGUGUAUUCUACUGUAUGUACUUUACGAAUAGGGAUCGGCCAACUACGUUCCAGCAGCCGCGGUACUCCGGUGGGUCCAAGCGUUAUCCGGAUUUAUUGGGUUUAAAGGGUGCGUCGUGGGUUAUAUAAGUUAGAUGUGAAAUGUCCGGGCUUAACCCGGGAACUGCCUUUAAUACUGUUGACCUAGAGAGUAGAAGCGGUAGGCGGAAUUCAUGGUGUAGCGGUGAAAUGCUUAGAGAUCAGGAAGAACACCGAUGGCGAAGGCAGCUUACCGAGCUAUAACUGACGUUGAGGCGCGAAAGCGUGGGGAGCAAACAGGAUUAGAUACCCGAGUAGUC
rnacentral:rRNA from 1 species